AUCUACGGCCAUACUACCCUGAACACAUCCCGAGUCUCUGAUCUUGGCAGAUAAGCGGGGCCUGGUUAGGGCUUGGAUUGGAGGCUGCCUGGGAAUACCAAGGGCUGUAGACU
ensembl:rRNA 5S_rRNA 5S ribosomal RNA